rnacentral:lncRNA from 1 species
AAAAUCGAAUCGAAUUAUUCAAUAACCAAAUCGAUCCAAACCAAACUGUUCAAUACCAAAUAACAAUUGUCGGAUGAUUAUAUUAAAAAGAAAAAAUUCAGAUUUCUUAUGAAACUAAAAAAACAAAAUAAAAAUAUAAUAAGGGUUUCUCAGAUAUAAGAAGCGGAAAAUGUGGUUCCGAAACUCGAACAUGACAAGAAGGUGAAAGGUUCGAGAGAGGUUUCUGUUUCUCGUUUUUGAGGAUUCCAC